rnacentral:lncRNA from 1 species
GUAGUAUUUCAUAUAACAACAUCCAAAACCACAUCACCAAACCAGUAAUUUGAUAACACUUCCUAUCAAUCAAUUAACCUAAUUACCGAUCAACUGGAGGCACCCAAUCAAACUUCGCCACGUAACCCGGAAGCGGACUGGCACGUGGAGAACGCAUGGGAAACUCAUCCGUCCGCUUUCCAUCUCGAUCAUAAUAAAUCACACCGGAAAAAUCCAACGGCUGACAUUUAUCUCCCAUCAGAAUCUCCCGUUGCCAUAAACCGUCGUGUUCAAAACCACCACCGCUGUCGUCUCCGCCGGUUCUUCGUUUGCGGUGGCGCAUCGUGAUCGCCUUGUUGCUGAUGUUGGCGAUCAGCUUUUUUGCGAUAACUGCUCGUCUGGCGCAGAGGAUUAAUAGAGUUGUGAUUGAUUGCAUCACGCCGGUGGCGAGACGUUUGGUUUUUCCGGUGGUGGAGGCGUCGCCGGAAUGA